rnacentral:lncRNA from 1 species
GUAAGGAGUUGGACACUACAACUGACACCAAGCAGGAAGUAGAGAGCGAGGGAACUCAGGGGGCGGAGAUACCGCCUCCCUAUUCGCCCGCUUCUAUGGUAGCCGCUGCCCCACCUCAACCCCCACCUCAGGCCCCAUCUCUGGGGAUGUACCCUAUUAUAACUAUUACUGAUGGGAGGGUGGAAGUAACAGACAGACAGACAGGCCAAUCCCUUUUAGGCUCAGUGCAGAGGCCUGGUGGUAAUCCCCAGGCCUCACCCAUACAGCUUUCAUCCACCCCCCUUCCACAAGAUGCAUUUCUAUGGAGAAGCCUUCAGGAGGCAGGAUCUCCAAAACCUGUCACGCCCCAACAUUCUGAACACACCACAAGAGCUAGCUCUCCAGACCUUUCUUGUGGAUCAUACACCUCUCUGCCACAGACGUCAUCCACCAGAAACAAAACAGGAAGAGGAAGGCAGGUGGUAGUGACUUCUCAGUUAGCAGGAGAGGUGAUAGAUACAGAUGAUGAUGAUAAUGUUGAUAUGGUAAACGGUAAUAGUAGUGCUCACACCAACACAACUGGUCUGCUGCAACAGAUAGACCAAACCAUAGUAGAGGUGCAGCGCCAGAUGAGUAAGUCUGAUCUGCCACGGCGACAUACUAUGACACUUAGAUCUCACACACAGCAAGAUAAGCAAACCCAACCAACUGAGACUGUUUCUCAGUUUCCAUUAGUACAGGCAGGCUCAUUUCUGCGCUAUAAGCCAUACUCAGUAGGAGAUGUGAACACACUGGUGGAAAAAAUGCCGCCCCCUAGUGAGGGUGGAGGUUUAUGGAUGGAUAAAUUGGCUGAGAUGACAGCUGGACAGACCCUAGCUCUAGGAGAUUUCAGGGCUAUUGCUUCUAGGAUGAUGUUACGCAGUGAGCUGCAUGAGAUAGAGACACAGUCAGGUACAGUUGGGCAUGGUGAUAAUGAGAGAUUUACUACAUACAGUACCUGUAUAGGGUUUGCUAUGCGUGAAUUGUUUCCAUUGCCAGUGUCCACAGGUCCCCCUAAGUAUACAUGGGACCCAGCAGUGCCCCCUAGGGAGCAUUUGGUGAAGUGCAGAGAGGAUUGGACAAGGAAAACUGGUAUGAAUCCAAGCCAGCAGGGUGUCCAACAGCAGUGGUUCAGGAAGGCAGUAGAGGAGGGCCUCCCAGUCUCAGUCCAACAAGCCUUGAAUAAUAACCCAGAUCUGCCUGGAAGUGCGUCCAAUGUGUGGGAACGACAUGUUACACAUCACAUGGAACAACACAAAAUGAAAACAGACCAAGAGAAUGUUGAAUUAAAAGGGAUUCAGGCUCAGUUAUUGAAAUUACAGCUAGGACAGGCUCGAAAGGAUGUUACUGAGCAGAGGAAAGGUAAAAAAGACACCCCAGCAGUUCAGAUGGUGGUGCAACCUCAGUCCACUCCUCCUCCACAGCCACAGCCCCCAGUUGCUGAUAAUUACUCAACCCCACCUUGGGUUCCCCCACCUUUUAAUCGUAGAGGGUGGGGCCAGAAUCGUAGAGGAGGAAACUGGAGGGGACGG